UGAACUUCAAAUUUCGAAUCUAACUUAUUCAGUCUGUUCUCCGCUUUUUAUUUACCUAAAGAAGGGAGAAAUGAGUAAACAGAAAGUGAACAAAUGGAUCUAUAGAAGAAGCUUAACACAACGAUGUAGACAAUCAUUGUAACAUUGAAGAUUAGUAGUGCCACACUUGGUAAUACAAGCAUUUGCACAUCUUUGAACAUCAGAAAAUCCAUUUGCGCCAUCUAAUACCAUCAUCAAUAAUAUAAUAACAAAACAUAAUCCCAACUUUAUGAUAAACUUCAUGAUAUAAGUUGAUCCCAACUUUUAUUUAGUAGUAGUAAUUUGCAAGAACUCUUAGAUAAAGAGAUUAGGGUUAAGUUGAUCUAUUUAAACUAUAAGAUUAUGAAAAGAAGCGUGUGCAAAUCUCCAUCUCAUUGCAUCACAUUAGGUAAUAGGAUAAUUUGAGAGAUCUUUCUUCUGAUUUGAUUUUAUAAUUUUCAUUUCAUUACAUUAAGUAAAAGGAUAAUUUGAGAGAUCUUUCUUCAGAUUUGAUUUUAUAAUUUUCAUUUCAUUACAUUAAGUAAUAGGAUAAUUUGACAGAUCUUCCUUUUGAUUUGAUUUUAUAAUUUUCAUUGCAUCACAUUAAGUAAUAGGAUAAUUUGAGAGAUCUUCCUUCUUAUUUGAUUUUAUAAUUUUUGUGAUAUUACAUUUACUAUUGACACACGUGAUUUGGGUGUAUUUCUCACAUUUUGUAAUUAGGAUUGGAGUGUUUAUUUGUGUAAGUUUUAAUAGUUAAAAUGUCUACUUGUGUACUGGUAAAGUUAAAGGUCAUAGUUGUUAGUUAAAGUUAAGUUCAGGGUUAUGUUUAUGUAUCAUAUGCCUUUUAUUUUUGUGAAUCUUUUUUCUUUUGUUCUUUCUUGUCAUAUGUGAUAGACAAGGUGUCUCGUUGAUUGGGGAAGAAAAAAAUUUCCCUUCAUACAUAGAAUUGUCUAUUAUUAAAUUUGUAAAAAGCUAGUAAAAAAAGAGUGUUCUCGUGCGCAUAAGAAAUGGACUUGCAAGACAAAAUAGAUUGAUUGCCCCCUUACACGCAAUAUACAUGUGUUUAUUACCGUCUAUAAUCUAAGGAAAUAAGGAGAUCGACGAAGACGUAGCACAUUGUAUUAGAUUAAGGUGGAUGAAAUGGGAGCUUGUAUGCAUUUAGUGUCCUAUCUUAUUGUUAUUUCUUUUACUUUGGUUAUCUUCAAUAUUUCUAAUGACCGUAUUAGGAAUAGUCCCCUACUUUCUGAUUAUUUUCAAUUACUAUCACUAGAAAGCUACCCAACUAUUUCUAAAGAAUUUUAUGCACUCCACGAUUUUCUUAUUUUCUUAUGCUAUUAGGUCUCAAAACUGAAUUUAGUUGUGUCCUAAAAACAAAAUUCCGAUUAUAAAAUGGCUAAACUUUAAAAUGUUGGCUAAAGAUGAAUCAGCAGACCAAAAAUAACUAUUUGUCAAUUUCAUCCAUGAAUCUUGUAUAGUAACAAAUUUAUAUAUUUGGACCACUAAUUAUUGUCUUGAUGAACAAAGUUAUCCAAUAAUUACGUAUUGGUGAGAUUCUCUAAAAUUAAUCGAAAUGCGCAUAAACUAAUUAUAUGAAUACCACAAUUGGCAUAACAAACAAAAAUUGAAGCUAUAACUAGAAAAUUUAUAAUAAGAACAAAAAAAGACAAUUGUAUCCAUGCUUGAGAAGAGUAGAUUAAUGAAUUACUACAAGAAAGGUAAAUAUUGAAUGAAGAAAGUUAAUAUAUGUCAUUCAAUAUGCAUUUUAUUCAGAAAAUGAGGCAAAUUUAUAAAACAAAUUCGAAUAUUAAGUAGACAUAAACUUCAAAUUUUGAUUUUGAUUUCUUGUCUCCCCACAAAAGGUUUAACACAACGAUGUAGACAGGUGCCUAAUACCUUCCCCUCGAUCAACAAAAUUUCUUACCCAAAUUUCUGGUUCGCAGACCAAUAAAAUAAAGAGUCAAAUUUCCAUUUGAUUAGGGAUUCAAAUAGCAUUGUAACAUUGAAGACUAGUAAUGCCACACUUGGUAAUACCAGCGUUUGCACAUCUUUGAACAUCAGAUAAUCCUUUUGCAUCUAAUACCAUCAUCAAUAAUAUUAUAAUAACAAAACCUAAUCCCAACUUUAUCAUAAACUUCAUUGUAUAAUUUGCAAGAAUUCUUAGAUAAAAGAGAUUAGGGUUAAACUGGUCUAUUUAAGUUAUAAGAUUAUGGAAAGAAGCGUGAGCAAAUCUCCAUCUCAUUGAAUCAUAUUACACUACACCAUAAAUAAUCUUUAGCGGUAAUUAAUUAACGACAAUUGAUAAUAGCUUAAUUGUCAUUAAAUAUAUGUUUUUAGAGGCAAUUAUGACUCUUUGUAAAUGUCUCUAAAGCCUAUAGCGACAUUGGAUCUAAUGGCAAUUAUAUUAAUGCUAAUAAUUGGGUUUUAACACUCUUUGUUAAUGUGUAUAUAUAUUGUCGCUAAAUAUUAUUUUUGUAAUUGUAGUGUUAAUUAAUUAGAUAAUUUCACACCAAUCUCCCUUAUGUUUGUGAUAUUAUGCUUAUCUGCCUGAAAUUAUCUCUUAAUUAAUUAUAUAUACUUCAAGCUACCCCACCACCAUCACCACCGGGUUGCCAUUUUUAUUUUUGUGGAUCUUUUUUCUUUUGUUCUUACUUGUCGUAUGUAAAAGAUAAAGUGUCUUGGAGAAGAAAACUUUUCCCCUUCUUAUAUUGAAUUGUCUAUUAUUAAGUUUGUAAGGAGAGUGAUCUUGCGCAUACAAGAUAUAGCUUGCAAGACAAGACAAAUUGAUUGCAUGUCCCUUGCACGCAAAAUAUAUGCGUCUAUUACCAUCUAUAAUCCAAGGAAAUAAGAAGAUUGACGAAGACGUGACACAUUGUAUUGGAUUGAGGUGUAUGAAAUAGAGGCUCGUAUGCAUCAAAUGUCCUAUCUUAUGCUUCGAUUUAAUUCCUCUUAUUGUUUCUAUUACUUUGGUUGGUCUUUGUAUUUGUAUUGUCGAUACUUGGGAUAUUCCCUUGCUCAUGUUCAAUUAUCACUAGAAAGAUAUCUAUUACCCAACUACUUAUAAAGGAAAGUCUGCGAUCCAUGAUUUUCUUAUGUUAUUAGGUCUCAAAAUUGAAUGCGCCUAAAAAAAGGAUUAUAAAACGUCUAAACUUUAAAAUGUAGGCCAAAUUAGAUGAAUUAUCGGACCAAAAAUAAUAAAUUUAAGCAAUAUGCUAUGUAUUCAGAAAUUGAAUGUGUCAUUCAAUAUGCAUUGUAUUCCGAAAUUGAAUUAGGUCUCAAAAUUGAAUGUGUCAUUCAAUAUGCAUUGCAUUCAGAAAAUUACGCAAAAUUUGUGGAAACGUUAGUUGCGUUAGUUCUCAUGUUAUAAGCAUUUGAUAUAUGGACGCUAUAUCACGCUUCAUUAAUUUCCAUAAUAAUCUUAUUAAAAGAAAAGUGUUCUUGAUCACAUACUGGAUUUUUCAUUCUAAACACUUAAUUGAAGCCAAAAUUAUUGAGGUCGGAGAAUCUAAUCAACCUUUGUUGAGCAUCUCAUGUGACUGACAUUAUAAUUAAAAAGUAGUCUGUUGAACGAUUGUUGGGUGGCAAGAAUAAUACAUGUAGAUGUAUAUGACAUAUAUCUACAAAUAUUAUUCAUGUCACUCUCAUUGAGAAGAGCCUUGUUUAGUAGAAAACAAGCACACAUCAUGCAAUUCUUUAAUUUUUGAAAGUAUAUAUAAUCAUAUAAAACUACUAUAACAACAACAACAAUAUACCCAGUGAAAUCUACUAAAUGGGAUUUGGAGAGGAUAGAAUAUAUGUAGAUCUUACCACUACCUCAUGGAGGUACUAGAUACGUAAUUAAUUUGAUGUAACCACAUGUUACUUAAGAGUAAAAUCUAUUGCCUAUGUAAGACGAGUAAAAUAUAUUGCCUAGAUAGAUUGUUGGUGUUAAUUUUACAAUGUAUCUUUUUUGUAUUUUAUUUCAUUUAUGUAAUAUUAUAAGCUUAGUCCUUAUAUUGUUGGUGUAUGAUAUUAUAAAACACAAAAAAUGAUUCAAUUUAUUUAAAUAUCAAAUUAAUCUUUAAAAUAUAAUAUAAUGCAAUAUAUUAUAAAACGAUAAGUGUCCUCGAACAUUAAGUCAUGCACAAUAUGUGGUCAAACAAAUGUUUUCAUAUUAAAUCAAUCUCCACCUAUAAAUUUGCCAACCGAUAUAAAUUUAAAAAAAACCCCAACAAACAUGAAUGAAAAUUCAAAUUGCACAACUUUGAAGCACAUUGUAGUUAUAAUUUUAAUAAAUAUUAUAAUAAUAAUUUGAAGUCAAUAUAGUAAAUACAUGAACUUCAAAUUUCGAAUCUAAUUUAUUCAGUCUGUUCUCCGCUUUUUAUUUACCUAAAGAAGGGAGAAAUGAGCAAACAGAAAGUGAACAAAUGGAUCUAUAGAAGAAGCUUAACACAACGAUGUAGACAAUCAUUGUAACAUUGAAGAUUAGUAGUGCCACACUUGGUAAUACAAGCAUUUGCACAUCUUUGAACAUCAG
rnacentral:lncRNA from 1 species